rnacentral:rRNA from 1 species
CCUACGUGAGGCAGCAGUGGGGAAUAUUGGGCAAUGGGCGCAAGCCUGACCCAGCAACGCCGCGUGAAGGAAGAAGGCUUUCGGGUUGUAAACUUCUUUUCUCAGGGACGAAGCAAGUGACGGUACCUGAGGAAUAAGCCACGGCUAACUACGUGCCAGCAGCCGCGGUAAUACGUAGGUGGCAAGCGUUAUCCGGAUUUACUGGGUGUAAAGGGCGUGUAGGCGGGAAAGCAAGUCAGAUGUGAAAACCAUGGGCUCAACCUGUGGCCUGCAUUUGAAACUGUUUUUCUUGAGUACUGGAGAGGCAGAGGGAAUUCCUAGUGUAGCGGUGAAAUGCGUAGAUAUUAGGAGGAACACCAGUGGCGAAGGCGGUCUGCUGGACAGCAACUGACGCUGAGGCGCGAAAGCGUGGGGAGCAAACAGGAUUAGAUACCCGAGUAGUC